rnacentral:pre_miRNA from 1 species
UUCUAUGGAUGAGCAAAGAAAGUGGUUUCUUAAGAUGGAAUCUACUCUUGCUGAAGAUAAAAUGACAA